rnacentral:rRNA from 1 species
UGGGGAAUAUUGCACAAUGGGCGCAAGCCUGAUGCAGCCAUGCCGCGUGUGUGAAGAAGGCCUUCGGGCUGUAAAGCACUUUCAGCGAGGAGGAAGGUGGUGAGCUUAAUACGCUCAUCAAUUGACGUUACUCGCAGAAGAAGCACCGGCUAACUCCGUGCCAGCAGCCGCGGUAAUACGGAGGGUGCAAGCGUUAAUCGGAAUUACUGGGCGUAAAGCGCACGCAGGCGGUUUGUUAAGUCAGAUGUGAAAUCCCCGGGCUCAACCUGGGAACUGCAUUUGAAACUGGCAAGCUAGAGUCUCGUAGAGGGGGGUAGAAUUCCAGGUGUAGCGGUGAAAUGCGUAGAGAUCUGGAGGAAUACCGGUGGCGAAGGCGGCCCCCUGGACGAAGACUGACGCUCAGGUGCGAAAGCGUGGGGCAGCAAACAGGAUUAGAUACCCUGGUAGUCCAGCGCUGUAAACGAUGUCGAUUUUGGAGGUUGUGCCCUUGAGGCGUGGCUUCCGGAGCUAACGCGUUAAAUCGACCGCCUGGGGAGUACGGCCGCAAGGUUAAAACUCAAAGGAAUUGACGGGGUC